GGGGCGGUGUCCGCCUCCACCUGGACCCGGAGGAGCCUCAGGUGAGACCCGAAGGUCCCCGGACAAAGAGGUGAUUUGGACCGCACCUCUAAAGCCUGGGAAAGAGUGAAGACAGUGCGUGACAGGCUUUUGAUCCCCGCCUCGCCUGCCCCCAAGUCACUGAAUGGCCGAAAGCACCCCGAAAAGAGUGUGGGUGGGAAAUGACUCCUGUCCAGCUGGGACUGCUAGGGCUGAAUGAAUAACGAAGGUGACAACUGGCGGUUUAAUAUGCUUGGCGGUGAAGGUGGAGAAUGCUGCGGGAUCUGAACCCCAGAUUUGCUACUUAGCCAGAGCGGAGUGCCCUAAAUGCUGAUGUUGGAGAGCCCAAGCAGGGCUGGUCCUGGGAGGUAGAUGCUUCUCGGGACAUCUGGGUCCCAUUCCACUGGAGGAGUCAAGUUCCUGCCAUGCUGCCCAGUCCUCUUUGCUCCGAGUUACAGAGCAGGCAUAACAGUUUCAGAAAGCAAACUCUAAAGUCUAGUUGACGCAUAGGGAAAUGACUUGGCAGGCAGCCACAAGACAGAGCUUCCAGCCCUGCCACUGCCAUGCUGUCUGACAGCUGAGAAACUCCUGUUUCAUCCAGCUCUGCAAAUUUAUUUGAUUUCGAAGUUCACAUUUAUUGAAGGAGACCUCAUUGGCUCAAAUGUGAAAAGAGGCAUGGUCUGAAUAAAUAGAUCAGAUGGGAAGAAGCCCUUGGAACAGGAUAUAAAAGCAACACUUUCCACUGAGCCUGACAUCCUGCUUCCAGAUGCAAGUGGCUGAGCAAGCCCUGGAGGAACCUCUAAGCAGCUGCGACCAUGCUGCUCCAACUUCAAAACCUGAAUUCAACAAUUUCCACACUCAGCCCUCGCUCACCUCUCUGCUUCCUUGUCCAGACCCUCAAAACGAUCUGAAUAAUUUAUUACACUUUUAUCAGUCUUCUCCACUAACAGCUGGCACUUUGGAAGGAUGCUUUGCACAGCUUCUAAGACUGCAGAGAGUCCCCAUGAACAAGAAGGCCCUCACCAGGUGCAGCUCUCUGACCUCGGACUUCCCAGCCUCUGGAACUGAUAUAUGGUAGCUACAUAUCCCAGAAUGGACAAGAUGGAAUCAUGGAGGAUCAAAGGACAUGAAUGGUCACAUGUCAAAUCCCAUGACACAGCACAACCUCAGUCUCAAGUUGAGUAAUAGCCUGUUUGGAUAAACUGGUCAGUGAGACUCCUCAUGUAUCUGGCUUAAAAAAUACAUUUCCAGCACUUAUGAGCCUGACGCAGAAGAACCACAAGUUCACAUCAGCCUAGCUUACAUGGUGAGUUCCAGGCCAGCCUGGACAAUAUACAGAACAAACCCUGUCUCAAAAAAAAAUUUUUUUUUUUCCUUCACGCAGUAGCAUUGUCUCCAAGUCCCCAUGUCUCAAUGUUUCUGUGUGGCACCAGUUGAGCCUGAGCCCAGAAAAGCUUUACCACAUUUACAGGCAAAAAGUGCCAUAAUGAAGUUGAAGGAGGCAUUGAGCUAAGGGGCACUGCAGGCUGCAGCAUUUAUCACAUGCAUAUCGUGGCGGGGAAGCAAAGACAAAAGACACAGUCACGACAAAAAGUGAGUCUGAUGGGUGGAGAGCCAAGACCCACGUCCAGAACAACAAACCAACACAGGGACAAGGGCUCGCCACAGGCUUUCAGGGCAAGUUGAACUCUAAUCCCAAACUAUAUGCCCUGGACAUUUUACCAAAGUCUUCUUUGUCUUAAUUUCCUUAUAAAGCUGUCACUUGGUAUCCUUGGAGGAUUGGUUCUGGGACCCCCCUGAGGAUACCAAAAUCUUCCAAUGUUCAAGUCCCUUACAUAAAAUGCCACAGUCCUUGCAUAUAACCUAUACAAUUCUCUCCUAUACUUUAAAUCAUCUCAUAUUACUUUCAAUAUGUAAUAUGAUGUAAAUAGUUGUUAUACUGCAUUAUUUAGGGAGUCAUUACAAAAGUCCAUAUAUGUUCAGUUGCUGAUGCAAUUUUUCUCCUGAAUAUUUUUGAGAUGCAUUUGCUUGGAUCUGUGGAUUUGUAACCUGAGGAUACUGAGGGCAGACUGCAUAUAAUAGUCCAUCCUUAUUGGUGGUUUCAGUAACGUGAGGUCAACCACUAUCGGAAAAUAUUAAAUGGAAAUUGCCAAAGUAAACAAUUCAUAAGCCAGAUACAGUGCUGCAUGCCUGUAAUCCCAGCUAUGCAUAAGUCUGAGGCAGGAGAAUGGCAAGUUUGAGGAGAAUCUUGACAAUUUAGCAAGGCUGCUUCAAAAUAAAAAAUAAAAAGAGCUAGAGAUGUGGCUCACUGUGGGGCCUUGGGUUAAAAGCCCAGUACUGCAAAACAGCAAAAAUUAAUAAGGUUUUUUUGUUUUUGACAUGGUCUUGCUAGCCGUUUGGGCUGGCCUCAAACUUUUGAUCCUCCUGCCUCAGGCUUUCAGGUAGCUGGGAUUAUAGGAAUGUGCCAAUAUACUUGGCCAAUUCAUAGGCUUUAAAUGAUUUUGAUUACAGUACAUUAUUAUAAUUGUUCUAUUUUAUUAUUAGAUUUUUCUUCAGUGUGGGGGAUGGAACCUAGGCUCUUGCAGUGUUAGACAUGUACUCUACCACAGAGCUACAUCUCCAGCCCCUUAUUAGCUGUUGUUAUUGACUUGUCAUUGUGCCCAACCAAACUCUAUUAUAUGUAUGUAUGUAUGUGUGUGUGUAGAGAAAAAACACAUGGUAUAAAGGGGUUCAGAACUGGCCAUGGUUUCAGGUCUCCUUGAAAUAUCUUGGAAUAUACCUUGAUUUACUACUAUAAAUGAAAUGGAGUGGUAAUCAUCACAGUACCCAUUUCGUAGGCCAUCAUGAGGACAGCAUGCAAUAACGUAUAUGAAGCACUUUGGACAGUUUUGCCACAUUGUCAGUGUUCAUUGCUGCACUGACUAUAUUGUUAAAUGAAAUAGUACUUAUAAAAUGCCACACAGAAAUGGAUGUGGCGGUAUAUACUUAUAAUUCAAAAUUCCAGGACUCAGGAGGCUGAAGCAGAAGGAAUGCAAGUUCAAGGCCAACCUGGCCAAUUUAGUGAGAACUUGGUCCUCCCAAAACAAAACAAAACAAAAAAGUCCUGAGCAAUGCCUAGCACUAUCAAACGUUCAGUAUUGUUAACUGGCAGUACUGUUAUUACUUUUAUUAUUUAAAUUCUGAAUCUAUUGUUGCAUAACAAAUAACUUCAACACUUAGCAUUUAAUACAAUAAUAAACAUUUAUUAUCUCACAUAGAUCCUAUGGAUCAAGAAUUUGGGAAAAACUUCCAGCUUCAUGGUUCUAGCCCAGGAUCUCUCAUGAGAUUACAAACUAUUGCCUGAAGCCUGCCUAGAGCUUGACUAGGCUCUGCCUCUGAGGUGGCUUGCUCACAUGGCUGCCACCUCUUUGCUAGCUAUCGGCCCAAGGCCUCAAUUCUUCACCACAUAGUCCCUGCAGAGGACUGCUUGAGUAUCCUUACAACAUGGCAGCUGACUUCUUCCAAGGCAAGUGGUCUAAGAGAGCAAGGCAGAAGCCACAAUGUCUCUUAAGAGCUACACCCAGAAGUCACAUUGCAUAUCACAGUAUCCUUCCUGGCUACACAAGUCUGUGCUGUCUUUGGGGGAGGAGCUACCGAAGCGCAUGAAUACCAGGCUGAGAGUCUAACUGGGUGCCAUUUUGCAGGCUGGCUACCGGAAGUACUAAAUUAUGUGACAGAGACAUGAGUUCUACAGGAACUCAGGUUCAGAUAAGAGGGAGACUAAUGAAGGUCAGAGUGCUAGGGAAUGUUCUGAUCACUCUUAGGUAGAUUUGAAUGAUAGCCUUUACCAUUUCUUUCUCAUCUUCCCUCAGUACGACUUGGAAAGAGAGGAAAGUAGGACUUUCACAAUCAGAAGGGUGAGAGGAAGCAAGAAAGCACAAGGAGACCUUUACAGAGGUGACAGGGCCUAUGUGGGGGUUGGUAGAGUACACUGACACUGGAAGGAAACAAAGUUUAUAAAUAAAUUGAAAGAUGCAGUGAGGCUGCUCAAGGAGGGCCGGGAAAGCCAAGUAAACAUGCUUAAACUAGCCAAAGUAAAAAGUAAAUGUUAAGGGCAUAGGCUUUGGCUAAAAGCAUGUUCAAAAUUCCUGCAGUCUUAUUUAAUAUGGGGGGAUUCAAGACUGGGUAGUGGAUUUAGAGAGUGUAAAAGAAAUUCUCCUCAAAGGGACAUUUGCUUCCACAGGAGCACAUCCUGGUGGGGUCAAGGCAAUACCAGGAAACGUACUUUAAUAGUUUCCUUAUAUCAGAGUAGGAAGCUCAAGUUGAUAAGAAGUUGGAAUCCAGCCUCCCAGUUGGAGGAGCCUCCCCAGGGGAAACCGUUGGAGUGGGAGAUAGUCUGUGUUUACACAGCAUGCCUUCUAUGUCUGCAGUUUACACAAACUGUAUCUUCUGGCCAGGCUGAAGAUAGAACCGCCUGACCUAGAAAAGCCCCAGUCUGGGCUCAGUGCCCAGCUAGCGCCGGGAGGAGCUCCCGCCCAGACCCACCCAGAUCCAAGCUCCUUGGACACACGGGGGUGGAGGCCACCCUGCACAAUGCAGACCUCACACGGAGGAUCCCACUCUGCAGCCAGGCAGAGCCUAGUCGAGGCUUGAGUAUCCUCCUCACGUCCUGCAGGGGGAACUACCUGUUCCGGUUCGUCUAGUUCAGAGCUGAGAGUGACACUUUCACUGGUAGACCACUUGCCCGGCACGUUCGAGGCCAAGCUAAAUCCUUGGGUUUGACCCUAGCACUUCAAAUUUUUACUAAAUAUUCUACUUCACUCUUAUUAGCAGGAGGGCAUACAUCACACCGCUAGCAUGACUUUGGCUCAUUCCUCAAAGCAACGAUAAAACCUAACGUUUGCAGGUUAGUGUGGGUUCACUAAGUGGUCCCAAAAGGACCCUUGGCGGUUUGCAGAUCGUGCUGCUGAAGAAGGUGGCAGGAGUCAGGCAUUUAUGGGUUUAAAUCAGCACUGUCCCUCGAGAGGGAGACCUUGGACACAUACGUUUUUACUGCUCAAAGCUUCAGUUUCCCUAUCUGGGAAAUGGGGAGAAGGCAACAGCCGAGAGGCUCUUUGACGGUGCCCAGCAAGUGCUCAAUAGACAACCACCCUCCUCACCCCAUUAUUCCAUUAUAUCCCAGGCCCCCUUGUCUUCACCUCAUGUUGUUACCCAGCCCCAGAUUUCCCUUAUUUUUUGUCCUCUUAAAAAUCCCCAGCCCCUGGCUGGCUGAGAGGUUUUGGCCUUGGGCAGCUGUACCUGCCUCCAACAUGGCACACAGCAUUUUGCUCAGUAGUAGCUGGUCAGUGCACCCACUGGGCACUCCCCUUAAUCUCUUUCCCCUGCUACUACCAGCACCUUGCCCAGUGCAAGCACACCUGUCUCCUCCUGCAGGGCAGCACUGGUCUUACUGGAGAAGGCACCAUCCGAGGUCAGUCCCCAGCUGUGCCUGUGGAGUCCCUGGGACACUUGGUGGACAAAGAGAUGGGAUCUCAGAGGCCUGGGGCAGGGAGGAGGAGAGAGGCCAAGGAGGAGAGAGCAGAGCCUCCCUCCUAGUCACAGCAAAGCCAGAAUUCACCUGGGAAGGAAUGCUUUCCCCAGGGAAGAAGUUAGGGGUAAGGAAAAGCUAGCCAGGCAUCUGAGGGCUUCCCUCCUAGCCCUUCCCACGACUUCUCAGAAUGGAGUCGCUUAAUGUGGCUCCAGCCCAGACUCAGGAUCUGAAAGAGUUCCCUGGAACUAAGGAGUGUCCUUCACAAACUCACACUAGGACAAAGUCCCUGAUUACCCUUGAGAUUCAAAGGGUUGGGCUAGAGUUAUAAAUUACACCUUUGUUUAGAAAAAAAAUUCAGACUCCAGGGCCUGAGUUCAGCGUUUUAAACAGCUUAGUGUUGAUCACCUCCCAGGCACACAGCCCUAGAGGCCACCUCGGCCUGUUCUCUAUCCUCUCUGAAGGAACCUGACUGGCUGCUAAAUCCUCCGGGGUUUGGCUUUGUGAAGUCUUCACAUUUGCUGUCACACCAGCCAGCCACUCUUGGCACACCUGUGUCACCAUAACUGCUGUGUCUGUUCCCUCGGGCUGGUGUCUCUCUUCUCUCAGUCCUCAUAGACACCGGUACCAGAGGAUUCCCCCUAAAACAGUGCACUAUGACCCAAUCCCUGCUCCAAAAAUACCUCAAUAUUAGCAACAGAGUAAAAUCCCAACAUGCUAAUCUGGUAUCCAAAUUCUUCCCAAUCUGAUUACACCCUACCCCUUCAGCCUCUCCUAUGGUCAUACCUUGGUCUUUUUCAGCUUCAGGACCUCUUAAACCCUGUACGUGCUGCAUUCUGAUGAGAAAAAAAAUGCUUCAGCACUGUAGCAAACCCCCCACUUACUCAUUACUGUCUUGUACUUGCGCAUUUUAAGAGCUAAUCAUGGGACACAAAAAAGUUGAGAGCAAUACCACUAAGCCCAAAAGGCUUAUAUUAGUCCAAUAAAAGGCCAUUAGCCCAGUAAAAUGUGAAAGCUCUGGAGAACUUUCACAAAUUAUUUCUAAUUACAUUAUUUCUUAUGGGAAAAAUUUGUUCAGUACUCAGUUUCAGCACUCUUCACUGGUUCCAGAACAAAUGAACAAGUACCGAGGCAUGACUUUGUCGUUGGUUCUGAGCAAACUGGCUUCCAUGUUCUUGGGCACAUGCUGGCUCUCGGGCUGCUCCAUCUGCCUGGAAAGCCAUGCCUCUGUCCACUUGCUGGAGGCUCCUGGCCACUUCCCAUGGAUCAGCCCAUUCUGUGGAAAUGGCCACAAGCUCCGGGCAACUAUUGCAUGUGUCAAACAUGGCCACUGUCACUGAGGAACUGAAUUUUGUAUUUUGUUAUCCAUUUUAAUUUGAAGACUAAUACUCAACUCAGUUACUAGAAAAUGUUUAAGUACAUUUGGAACAAUUUGGUUUUGUAAAUCUACUUUUUCAACUGUAAAUUGUUUGUAUGUGUGCCUGUGUAUGGCACUGAGGAUUGAAUCCAGGUCCUCAUGAAUGCUAAGCAAGUGUUCUACCAUUGCGCUACAUCUGCAGCCCUUUUUAUUUUGAGACAUAGUCUCAUGAAGUUGCCCAGGCUGGACCUUGUGAUCCUCUUGCCUCAGCCUCCAAGUAGCUGUAAUUACAGGUGUACUGCUUUGACUAAGUUCUAGGAAAUCUAAGUACAGUUUAAGUAUUUCUGAUAAAAAGC
rnacentral:lncRNA from 1 species